rnacentral:rRNA from 1 species
UGGCUCAGAACGAACGCUGGCGGCAGGCUUAACACAUGCAAGUCGAACGAGAAGCUACCUUCGGGUAGUGGAAAGUGGCAGACGGGUGAGUAACGCGUGGGAAUCUACCUAGUGGUGGGGGAUAACUCAGGGAAACUUGAGCUAAUACCGUAUACGUCCUUAGGGAGAAAGAUUUAUCGCCCCUGGAUGGGCCCGCGUUGGAUUAGCUAGUUGGUGGGGUAAUGGCCUACCA